GUUUUUUCUUUUUUUCUAAAUGUAAUAUCGUGAUAUGUCGUGCCAUUGAUGUUUUGUGACGAUAAACAAAACGGGCAACAACACACAGAUGGAAGGAAGUGUCGUUAAAAACCGUAAAAGUUGUAGGAUAGGGCAGGUAUUAAAGUAAAUCAGAGACACCUCUGAAAAAAAAAACAUAGUCAAGCAACGGAGCGUCAAAUAGCAAUCUGCCAUGCUGAUGGGACAAGAGAGAGACCCCCCCCAACCUCUAAACCUCUCUGCUAAAUGUUCCCAUGGCCACAACAGACUAACAGACAGACAGAUGCCAGCCAUAAUGGCAGUGCCAGGCAGGUGAUGGUGAUGCCAAGCUGGAAUGACAUGCACGCACGCACACACAAGCAGACACAAACGUAUCCCUACGGACGCUCUUAAUUAGACUCCACCCGUCCCCCACGGUCCCUGUGGCAGGCGAGACAAAGGGAGGCUCACUCGUUUGGACGUGUGAGUGUGUGUCUCUCUCUCUCUCUCUCUGUGUGUAUUGUGUGUUUGUGUCUGAGGGGCCUAUCUUUAGCAGAU